rnacentral:misc_RNA from 1 species
AAGUCGUAACAAGGUUUCCGUAGGUGAACCUGCGGAAGGAUCAUUUCCAAUCCAAAAAACUUAUCAACCCACUGUGUGCACUGUCUUAAUUUUCACCUUUCUGAGAAACAAAAUAAAAGGGAUCACACCGCUAGUCUUUUCUUGUAGUGUGCUCUUUUUUUUGGAGUAUCAGAAAGAAAUUUUAUAUUACAUCCUAUUUACACCCCAUGUAGAUCUUAUCAACAAAAAAUAGUUUAAUAACAUUAAACAACUUUUAACGGUGGAUCUCUUGGCUCGU